CCCAGCAUUUUGGAUAUUCCAGAACCGUGGAAUGACCACCAAGAAUAGCAGCAGCCCUGGAGUGGAGCUGGCCUGAACUUAGAAGACAAGCUGUGUGUGCUGCAGAGAGCAGAGCCGGAGAAAUGAUCCAAGCCCCUUGGAGGAGGCCAGAAGAUGGAGUCUCUGCUAGAAGCACUGGACGAGUGUAAAGGAAAGAAAUGGAAGAAAUGCCUUGGGAAUUGCACAUCUGCACUGCAAAAAACAGAGACAAACACCACCUCAAAAACAGAAGUAUCUGGAAGAGAGGCGGGAGAGGCGAAGAGGAGGACUACAAGUUAAGAGCUGGAGGAAUGAGGUGACCAUUUGUUGCAGAGGCCUUGGAAGAGAAGCAAUUGGCCCCAGUCUCACGGCUACAGGGUGAUAAGGUAGAAAACUAGAAGCCAGCUGACUUCUAGUUCAGUCUCUUUCUGCUCUGUGGAUAAUUUGUCCUUGAGUUUUUGGUAAGACAACUUAGGAGGCUGAGCCUGUAGCAUAUGUAUCGGGAGACCUCAUUUCAUGCCUUUGAUAUAUUCUUGUGAAUUUGAUAAUAAAGUGAAUUGCAGUAAAUUAUAUAUCUUAUCAUGUUUUUCAAAGAUUAGAGCUGUAACCUUCCAUAAGAGCUUUCAGCCUUGGGUAUACACUAGAAUAUAAUAGAAAAAGUACAUGCUUAAGGGGAAAAGAAUUUUCUGAUGAAAUAUUAAAAUAAUGGUCUGAGAAAACCAACAAAUAUUAAAGCAUGAAACAAGAAUCUUUUGUCUAGAGGAAGAUAGUCAGUCUAUUUCUUUAAAUGCAACAUAUAUCCAUAUAUACAUAUACCAAUUUGUAGGUAAAUACCUGUUUUGAAGAGCUCAAACUUCCAUUUCUUAAUUAUCUUCCAUUUUCCAUGAUUAUCUUUCAUGGUCAGUAUUAAUUGUUUAUUUAACUACCUGGGUUAGCUUGCUGCAAUGUUUGCUUAGUGGCUUAUGUAAACUCUCCAUCAUUGAAAGUCAUCUUUCCUGAGAGCGUUAUUAAGAUUAUUUCCGUAAGUAUGACUUUCUCUAUAGUGAAGCUUCUGCAAUCAGCAUAGAUAAACAAAGGAGCUGUUUGAUAUUUCACUAGACAUAAGACACCAUAUCUUAUAAUUUAAUUAGAAGCCUGUAAGAGGGUGUGAGAUGACAUGAAGUUUUGGUUUCUUUCUUCCUUCAACAUCUUGCUGUUUCGACCAGGAGGGCUUUGAACUUGUGACUCCCUUCCCCCAAGCACUCACUAACCUCCAUUCCCCAUUCCCCAGGGCUAGGAAUAUAAGCGUGGCAUACUUGACCUGGCUACAUUUAAGAUGGUUAAUCUAUUUGUUCAUUUUGAAAAUUUAUUAGCUUAUGAAGGGUUAGGUUUUAUUAUGUAUUUUUAAAGGUAAUUAUUUUUGUUUUUCCUCUACCAACGUGUCUUCCCCACUCUCUCGUCUUGUGCCUCCCAUCCCCAGUAGACUCUUCCUACUUUCACACCCCCACCCUUCCUCAGUGCUCCUGGUUUGCCUCUCCCUCUCAGGCUCCUGCCUAGUUUCACAAUCUAUACCCACUCUCCCAAACCCUUGUUAACACACACACACACACACACACACACACUCAUGUUAGGAUCAAUACAGGAGAGAGAAUGUAAGUUUUUUCUUUCUGAGACUUGAUCACCUCACUUACUAGAUAAUCCUUUACAAUUCUAUCAGUUUUCUUGAAAUUUUCAUUUUUUUAAAUCUUAGUAUUUUGAAGU